AUCGCUACUUGGCCUUUUGGCUAAGAUCCAGUGGAGUAUCUGUUCUUAUCAGUUUAAUAUCUGACACGUCCUCUAUCUGAGGGCAAUAUAUUAAGUGGACUUUUGGAGCAGGGAGAUGGACUAGGGGCUUGCUCUGUCCACUCCACAUUCUACCUGGUAUUGCGGUACCUCCAGGAACGGUGCACCCCCC
rnacentral:snRNA from 1 species